AUUGCCAACUAAAGGUCCAAAGAUUAGCCGUUCUUAGGGCUCCUUUGUUAGAAGCACCUUCAAAUCAACUCAAUCCAAUUUUAGUCAAAUUUCAUCUUUGUCUCUGAAUAUAUUGCCUCACUACAAAUUAGUGUUCUAAAAAAGUUGUAUGGAGUGUAUAGAUUUAGAGGGAAACGAUUUGGCGGCAAGAAUUUUGGCUUCUCUCCUCUAAAUUCUAAAAAAUAGAGUUUCCUUUAUUAGUUAUAAUUCUUCAAAAGACCUAAUUUUUGCCUUCCACUAUGCUAUCGCAGUUACUUUGAGAAGGAGAAGAUUUUGGGGCUGAGGCUUUUGAAGGGUUUUAUCUGUUUUCUUCAUGCCGCUAAUUCUCCGCAAGAUAGUGCAAAUUCGAAUAUUUACAAGUACCCAGUUUAGUUUUUGCAGGUAACAAAAACAAUGUUCUUGGAGCCUCCUCGCUAACUUCAAUCGGAUCGGAUGGAAGUUAACAAAUGGGUCUUCUUAAAUGGUCCUACGCUCCUAGCCCUUAUAAUAGUCUCGGAGCCUCCUUGCUAAGUUUUAAUUUCUGUUUGAUCAAUUGAAGUAUGAAAUCGAAAAAGUGAAAGUGAAAACAAUUUGAUCAAUUGAAAUAUGAAAUUGAAAAAGUGAAAGUGAAACUGUUCAUUUAAUCAUUUUCUACUAGCGAGUAACUUAAUUUGUUGUUGUUCAUAGAAUUAAUUAUUGAUCAAUGGUGUGAGGCAGCGAACUUAGAAUAAAUUGGAAACUGCUUGAUUGCACCCAUGUUUGCACCAUUACAGUGAUACACAUAUCGAUUUUAGCUAACAAUUUUCUUUCUUUUUCGUAAUUGUUUGGAUUUUGUUAAACAGAAUACAAGGAACAUAGAUUUUUAUAGGCAACUUUAACUUGUCAGGGUCUGAGUCUCUGAGACAUAGUUGACUAAUCGACGGAUGAAAGAAAGUUUUUUUGGGUAGAUCUUUAAUUUGUUUUGUCUUUGCCAUAUUUCAAAUAUGAAAUUGUUGUGUUCUGAAAGUUCUCACUAGGUUUGUUCUUUCCUAAUUAUUUAUGCUGCUUAAGUUUGCUUGCAAAUUAUGUUUCUACUUAAAUUACUGUAUAGAAAGAAUGGUGCUGUUUGAAAAUGAUUACAUUAACAUGAUCUCAGUUAAUAGUUCAAUAUAAAAGAGUCCUAAAUUUUGUUCAAUCAAAUAUUACUUUGAUAUUAGUUCUUUGGAAGUUUUAUUCACUCAAGAUGUUAAUUUUGGUGUUCUAUAGUUUGAUUUUGCUUAAUCAUAGCACGAAAUGGCAUUUUAGCUCCAUUAAGUCAUAAAGAUUGGAGGCUUGUGCCUGAUAUGGGCUCAUAUUAAGGUGCAUAAAAAAAGAAAAAAAAUUACAUACUAAGAUGCUUAUUGCUUUUAUGCUUUUAUAUAUAUGUGUGUGUGUGUGUGUGUGUGUGUUAUAUGUUUAUGUUUACAGGAAAAUAUUGGUGCAACUGAGGAUAUGAGAUAUAUUUUGAUGAUAUCAGUUGGGACUAUAAAUGGAAAGAAAGGAAGGACGAGGGAAAAAGAACCGGCCAUAAGCCAUACGGCAACGAUAAUAAGCUCUUAGCUAAACAUCCAGACAGGGUAGAAAAUGAUCAAUGGCGUGCAUUAGUUCAUUAUCGGAGCUCUAAUGAAGCAGAGGAAAAGGGCAAGAGGAACAAAUAAAGCCGAACGAAUCUGACUUUGCCACACACACCAGGAAGAAAAGUCAUUCCCAAAUUAUAGAUACGCAUGCCUAUUUGCCAUCUGCUUUCUGUAAUUUAUAUAUCAAUAUUAUUUUCUUGAAUAUUUUUUAUACACCUUUUUCCUAUUUAACCAGAUGACAAAGAAGGAUGGUGUAAAACCAAGUCGUAUUGAAGUAUUCACAAGAACAUAUAUGAGAAAGAAUGAACAACCAAUAAAUGAGAUAGCUGGUGAAGUAAUGCAUUUUGAAGGAGAAUUACUGGCAAUAAACCUUGACUAAUGGAGAGGUGGUUUCAAAAAGCUUUGUUGCAGGAUUUAGUCUAGAAGUGAAGAGAAUUCAUUCGAAAGUGAUAAUAACGUAGUUACAUGUUGAAAUUACUGUCUUUUAUGAUUUAGUUGGAUUUGAAUUUUACUUAGAGAAUAAAUCAUUUGAUUUGGCAUCAUCUAUUUGUACAAAAUACUUUUUAGAUUGCUAAUUUAUUUUUUAAGUAUUAAAA